AUAACCGCAUCUACUAACAAAUCCACAUCAAGAUUAAAGAUAAAUCAACAUCUGUCUUUCAGACAUGUACUUUUAGAUCUGUGAAUCUGUGAUAAUACUUUUACAACUGGAAGACUCAGACAUGUAAUUGAGAGAUGAACACAACUACAGGUAAAGCCAUGGCUGCAACACACGGUUGCAAAGUGAGAACUAUGCAACCUGGAUAUUGCCCCGCCAAGAUGCUACUCGGAUCUUCUAUGUACCCUCAAAAUACAAUCAUCAUCACAGUCUAUUGUGUUAUGUAACCCCGCAGGCUCAGCUUAUGCAUCAUAGCCUUAACAGUUUCAGUUCAGACAUAUUAAGAACACAAGCUCAGCUUAUGCAUCAUAGAGUCGACAGGCUCAGCUUAUGCAUCAUAGCCUCAUAGGCUCAGCUUAUGCAUCAUACCCUCACAGGCUCAGCUUAUCCAAGCCAUCUAGGUCGUAUAACUUAGGACCUUAGUCCGACAACCAUCAAACUCUGAAAUAACCGCAUCUACUAACAAAUCCACAUCAAACGGAUCCCUUGUUCAAAUCUGUGGAUCCCUUGCCAGAUAAAGCUCGUGAUACAUCUCAUGAAACCCUAGAUCUGCUCAUCGAGCAUC
rnacentral:lncRNA from 1 species